rnacentral:lncRNA from 1 species
CCGGCAAGGGUAUCCUUGCUGCUGAUGAGUCCACUGGCACCAUUGGCAAGCGCCUUUCCAGCAUCAAUGUCGAGAACGUUGAGGAGAACCGCCGUGCCCUCCGUGAGCUCCUAUUCUGCUGCCCUGGUGCUCUCCAGUACAUCAGCGGUGUGAUCCUCUUCGAGGAGACCCUGUACCAGAAGACCAAGGAUGGCAAGCCUUUUGUUGAUGUCCUCAAGGAGGGAGGCGUCCUCCCUGGCAUCAAGGUUGACAAGGGCACCAUUGAGGUUGUUGGCACUGAUAAGGAGACCACCACCCAAGGCCAUGACGACCUUGGCAAGCGUUGCGCCAAGUACUACGAGGCAGGUGCCCGCUUUGCCAAGUGGCGCGCUGUUCUCA